ensembl:misc_RNA Y_RNA Y RNA
GGCUGGUCCAAGCACAGUGGUGUUUACAAUGAAUUGAUCACAGCCAGGUAGAAUUCUUUGUUCUUUCUCCAAUCCCACUGCUUUGCUUGACCAGCCUUAA